UCUGGUGGAGCUCAAGGGUAUAGCACAUGCCCGGCAUGCAUGAAGCCCUGGGUUUGAUCCCCAGCAUCACAG
rnacentral:tRNA from 1 species